GAAACUCUGACCGAGCAACGCCGCGUGAACGAUGAAGUAUUUCGGUAUGUAAAGUUCUUUUAUUGAAGAAGAAAAAAUAGUGGAAAAACUAUCUUGACGUUAUUCAAUGAAUAAGCCCCGGCUAACUAUGUGCCAGCAGCCGCGGUAAUACAUAGGGGGCGAGCGUUAUCCGGAAUUAUUGGGCGUAAAGGGUGCGUAGGCGGUUAGGAAAGUCUAUAAUUUAAUUUCAGUGCUUAACGCUGUCUUGUUAUAGAAACUACCUUGACUAGAGUUAGAUAGAGGCAAGCGGAAUUCCAUGUGUAGCGGUAAAAUGUGUAAAUAUAUGGAGGAACACCAGAAGCGUAGGCGGCUUGCUGGGUCUUGACUGACGCUGAGGCACGAAAGCGUGGGUAGCAAACAGGAUUAGAUACCCUGGUAGUCCACGCCGUAAACGAUGAGUACUAAGUGUCGGGGUAAAACUCGGUACUGAAGUUAACACAUUAAGUACUCCGCCUGAGUAGUACGUACGCAAGUAUGAAACUUAAAGGAAUUGACGGGACUCCGCACAAGCGGUGGAUCAUGUUGUUUAAUUCGAAGAUACACGAAAAAUCUUACCAGGUCUUGACAUGCUUUGCAAAGCUAUAGAAAUAUAGUGGAGGUUAUCAGGGACACAGGUGGUGCAUGGUUGUCGUCAGUUCGUGUCGUGAGAUGUUAGGUUAAGUCCUAAAACGAGCGCAACCCUUGUCGUUAAUUGCCAGCACGUAAUGGUGGGGACUUUAGCGAGACUGCCAAUUAAAAAUUGGAGGAAGGUGAGGAUUACGUCAAAUCAUCAUGCCCCUUAUGAUCUGGGCUACAAACGUGAUACAAUGGCUGUUACAAA
rnacentral:rRNA from 1 species